AAAGCAAAGAUUUCAGAAGAAGAAAUAUUUGCAGAGUGGCCUGCACCUCCAACCAAAGAUGACGACACGUUUUAGCCUCUACGGAUAUGUCAUGCAUAGAUUUGUACAAAACGUCUGCAUCUGCAGAACUGCUGCCGUCACAAUGUCAACU